rnacentral:misc_RNA from 1 species
GGGUGAUGAGAACGAAGCAAGGAAUUACAGCUACAGCCUCGAGGUUGGGGCCCACGGAAGGAAACUCAUAUGGGAAGGAACACCGCGGAGCAUCCGAGACAGCCACCGUAAAGUCCGUGACAGCCAUGACGGCCUCAUAAUACAGAGGAACAUGGCACUCUUCUUCUCUGGCGGGGACAGGAAGGAGCUGAAGCUGAGGGUAACUGGACGAAUAUGGAAGGAGCAGCAGAACUCAGAUUCUGGGGCAUGUAUUCCCAAUCAAUGUAGCUGAA